UAGGGAAUCUUCCGCAAUGGGCGAAAGCCUGACGGAGCAACGCCGCGUGAGUGAUGAAGGUCUUCGGAUCGUAAAACUCUGUUAUUAGGGAAGAACAAAUGUGUAAGUAACUAUGCACGUCUUGACGGUACCUAAUCAGAAAGCCACGGCUAACUACGUGCCAGCAGCCGCGGUAAUACGUAGGUGGCAAGCGUUAUCCGGAAUUAUUGGGCGUAAAGCGCGAGUAGGCGGUUUUUUAAGUCUGAUGUGAAAGCCCACGGCUCAACCGUGGAGGGUCAUUGGAAACUGGAAAACUUGAGUGCAGAAGAGGAAAGUGGAAUUCCAUGUGUAGCGGUGAAAUGCGCAGAGAUAUGGAGGAACACCAGUGGCGAAGGCGACAUUCUGGUCUGUAACUGACGCUGAUGUGCGAAAGCAUGGGGAUCAAACAGG
rnacentral:rRNA from 1 species